rnacentral:rRNA from 1 species
UACGUAGGGGGCAAGCGUUGUCCGGAUUUAUUGGGCGUAAAGAGCGUGUAGGCGGCCUGACAGGUCUGCUGUGAAAACUCGAGGCUCAACCUCGAGAUGUCGGCGGAAACCGUCUGGCUAGAGUCCGGAAGAGGAGAGUGGAAUUCCUGGUGUAGCGGUGAAAUGCGCAGAUAUUAGGAGGAACACCGGUGGCGAAGGCGGGUCUCUGGGCCGAUAUUGACGCUGAGGAGCGAAAGCGUGGGGAGCGAACAGG